rnacentral:rRNA from 1 species
AACGAACGCUGGCGGCGCGCCUAAUACAUGCAAGUCGAACGAGAAGCUGUAGCAAUACAGUUGUACAGUGGCGAACGGGUGAGGAAUACAUGGGUGACCUACCCUCGAGUGGGGAAUAACCAGCCGAAAGGUUGGCUAAUACCGCGUACGCUUCCCAGUCUACGGGUUGGGAAGGAAAGCGAUGCCGUGGGUAUCGCGCUCAAGGUUGGGCUCAUGUCCUAUCAGCNGUUGGUGGGGUAACGGCUCACCAAGGCAACGACGGGUAGCUGGUCUGAGAGGACGAUCAGCCACACUGGCACUGCGACACGGGGCCAGACUCCUACGGGAGGUAGCAGUAAGGAAUAUUGCGCAAUGGGCGAAAGCCUGACGCAGCGACG